rnacentral:lncRNA from 1 species
GGUUUUCUUAACUAGGGCUGGGAAGGAGGACGGGGGAUUAAACCCAGGGCUGCAUUAAGCUGUAUCUCCCAGCCCAUCAGCCCAUCUCUUGAGCUCUUAUCAUCAGCGUGUGAAGAAUACCAUGGAGCAUUAGACCUCGCAAAGGUGACAGGCAUCCAAAAUUCUCUGCAUGGAUUCAAAGACAUAGGGUCAGAUCAUCAGUAGGUACCAAAAUAAACGUUGUUUUCUUUUUCUUCUAAGGACAAAACAAAAUGAAAAUCAUGUAGAUUAGUAUCAAACUUGUUUCCCAAAAAUUAAUCUCAUAUUUGUCAAGAAAUAAUUGAAUUAAUAUGACAGAUGCUGCUUCACAGGGAACUUCCCCACCUAAGAGGAAG